rnacentral:rRNA from 1 species
GUGCACCAGGCGCGAAACCUCCGCAAUGCACGCAAGUGCGACGGGGGAACCCCAAGUGCCACUCUUAACGGGGUGGCUUUUCAGAAGUGUAAAAAGCUUCUGGAAUAAGGGCUGGGCAAGACCGGUGCCAGCCGCCGCGGUAACACCGGCAGCUCAAGUGGUAGCCGCUUUUAUUGGGCCUAAAGCGUCCGUAGCCGGUCUGAUGAGUCUCUGGUGAAAUCCCACAGCUUAACUGUGGGAAUUGCUGGAGAUACUAUCAUGACUCGAGGUCGGGAGAGGCUGGAGGUACUCCCAGGGUAGGGGUGAAAUCCUGUAAUCCUGGGAGGACCACCUGUGGCGAAGGCGUCCAGCUGGAACGAACCUGACGGUGAGGGACGAAAGCCAGGGGCGCGAACCGGAUUAGAUACCCGUGUAGUCC